AUGGGAGGGCGCGGCAAGAAGCGUGGUGCUGCGAAGGAGGCCGGCCGUGAGGGCAACGGGGAGAAGCCGGCGUCCGACGGGGGCAGCGCGCUGCCGACGGCCAACGUCGUGCCCCCGACGAGGCGGGUGCCGCCGUCGAACGUCAAGAUCGCCGAGUCCGCGAAGCAGCUCACCCACGACUGCGCGGCCGAGUUCGUUUUCAGCCGCAGGGCGCGCCCUCCUGCGCGGCCGGCGAUGACGGCGGCCGUGUCGCCUGGCGCGCCAGUGUUCACCGACGAGGAGCUGGAGUUCCUCCAGUCGGUAAUUCCUCCGCCGCCGGGCGGAUAUUAG
rnacentral:rRNA from 1 species